rnacentral:lncRNA from 1 species
GAACACAAAAUGGCGACACGUGGUUAGCAUUCGUCGCCAACGAGAAAUUGGGGUCGGCCCGAAAGCUCUAGAAUGCACCCCUCUUCCUCCCCGGGGCCUUCCACCUCCGCGAGUUUUAUGACUUAAAAAAGCCCACAGGCUGGUCUGAAGGUCGGAGGCCUAAUUUUAACGCGUUUUCCUCCCUUUAAUUUGAAACGGGAACGCGAAUGACUGUAAAAUGUGGGCACAAUAUUUAAUCUCUCGCCUUUUUAAAGCUUAAUAGUGGAUAAUAGGGGGGCAGUAUCAAGGGAUAAUUUGGGUCCCCACAGUACCAAAGCAUUUAGAAACCUCUGUUUAAUUUAAGGAAUGAGAUAAGUUACUGCUUUUCUAGACUUCCUAGCAUGGGCUGUUGUGCUGGAGAGAACGAGAGCUACGAAGAGACUACAGUGCCUCUGACUUUUUCAUAGGACAGUUGGCCGAGGAAGACAAACAUAAAGAUGAAGUGCUUAAUUCAAGGUCACACAAUGUCGGGGAUGGACCUCCAGAUUUCCUUACUGGUGAGACGUGGUCUUGUAACACAGUGGUUAAGAAUGUGACUUUGGAGCCAGCCUGCUAGGGGCUGAAUUCUGACUCAGCCAUUUACUAACUGUGUGACCUUAGGUCACAGAAUUUUCCACACUCCUUGACAGAGGUGCUUAACCCUUAUCCAUCAGCAUUCUCAGACAGCACCUCCGGUUAGGGACAGUAUCUGACCGUCCGACAUCCCUGCAGCCCCCAUGUGUCACACAGACUCAGCCUCAGGUAGAUGGUUUCCGUAGAUGGUGGCUUUCUUUGGACCCUUGACAUCAACCAGUUACUAUUUGGGCCACACAUAACAAAUAGAAGCAGAGCAAGCCCUGGAACUCCUGCCUGACAGUGACACGACGACAGAAACAUCUUACCAGUCAGAGGACCAUGAGAAAUAGAUUCAAGGAGCAUUCCACGUGCAAGUGAGUCUUGGCCCCAUCUGCCUUUGGAUUUUAGCCGUGAACUGGAAGGUAUUGGAAAGAAGACCCUCAGAAAUAGCUUAAUCAAAAUCCCUGCGUCUGAACCAAGUGCCUUAUUUCUCUGUGGGCCUCAAGCUUCGCUGACAUCUGUGGAGCACACUGUCCUAACAGGAGUGCUGUCUGAUUUCCCAACGCUCUGCAAAACAAACAGCCUGGAAGGGUGGCUGGUGGAAGGUGGUUUUUAGAGAGAGACUUGUAGAUAACAGGAAAGUGAAGGCUGUAAGGAAGGUUGUAAUUAAACAGCACAUGGAAACACAA